rnacentral:ncRNA from 1 species
GUCAAACCGAUGAGGAAACCAAUAGUAUUUGGCCUUUUUAACAGAGAGACUCUGGCAGGUGGGAAGAGUUAUGAGGUUAGAUAUGAACGCUAUUUCCGAGGGCAAGUAAAACUUGACGAAAGCACGCGUUAAGUGCAAUGACAGUUUAUCUGUCCCAAAGCGACCAAUCCAUGCCAUUUAGUCAAGGGCAAUUGAAUUGGUAAGCAGGGUGGUACCACGGUAAGAGCCCGUCCCUGAU